AGUGAACGCUGGCGGUAGGCCUAACACAUGCAAGUCGAACGGCAGCACAGGAGAGCUUGCUCUCUGGGUGGCGAGUGGCGGACGGGUGAGGAAUACAUCGGAAUCUACUUUUUCGUGGGGGAUAACGUAGGGAAACUUACGCUAAUACCGCAUACGACCUACGGGUGAAAGCAGGGGAUCUUCGGACCUUGCGCGAUUGAAUGAGCCGAUGUCGGAUUAGCUAGUUGGCGGGGUAAAGGCCCACCAAGGCGACGAUCCGUAGCUGGUCUGAGAGGAUGAUCAGCCACACUGGAACUGAGACACGGUCCAGACGCCUACGGGAGGCAGCAGUGGGGAAUAUUGGACAAUGGGCGCAAGCCUGAUCCAGCCAUACCGCGUGGGUGAAGAAGGCCUUCGGGUUGUAAAGCCCUUUUGUUGGGAAAGAAAUCCAGCUGGUUAAUACCCGGUUGGGAUGACGGUACCCAAAGAAUAAGCACCAGCUAACUUCGUGCCAGCCGCCGCGGUAA
rnacentral:rRNA from 1 species